GGAAGCUUGCUUCCUAUGCCGGCGAGUGGCGGACGGGUGAGGAACACAUCGGAAUCUACUCCGUCGUGGGGGAUAACGUAGGGAAACUUACGCUAAUACCGCAUACGACCUAAGGGUGAAAGUGGGGGACCGCAAGGCCUCACGCGAUGGAAUGAGCCGAUGUCCGAUUAGCUAGUUGGCGGGGUAAAGGCCCACCAAGGCGACGAUCGGUAGCUGGUCUGAGAGGAUGAUCAGCCACACUGGGACUGAGACACGGCCCAGACUCCUACGGGAGGCAGCAGUGGGGAAUAUUGGACAAUGGGCGAAAGCCUGAUCCAGCCAUGCCGCGUGGGUGAAGAAGGCCUUCGGGUUGUAAAGCCCUUUUGUUGGGGAAGAAAUCCUGCUGGCUAAUACCCGGCGGGGAUGACGGUACCCAAAGAAUAAGCACCGGCUAACUUCGUGCCAGCAGCCGCGGUAAUACGAAGGGUGCAAGCGUUACUCGGAAUUACUGGGCGUAAAGCGUGCGUAGGUGGUGGCUUAAGUCCGUUGUGAAAGCCCUGGGCUCAACCUGGGAAUUGCAGUGGAUACUGGGUCACUAGAGUGUGGUAGAGGGUGGCGGAAUUCCCGGUGUAUCAUUGAAAUGCGUAUAGAUCGGGAGGAGCACCCGUGGCGAAAGCGGCCACCUGUGCCAACACUGACACUGAGGCACUAUAUCGUGGGG
rnacentral:rRNA from 1 species